UAGCUCGUCUAUCUUUUUCACCUCACUUAUGCACUAAGGGACACUUUGUUGCACUAUGGGCUUUUAGACCCACUUAUUAUUUUUCAGUGCUACUCCUAACCAGUAUUGGUUAUGGCAGAUCAGGCAGGUUACUCCCAAGAUUUAGACUUAGCUUAGAACACCCUCGAAGGUGUUUCCAGGAGAUUAGGGACUAGUUUUGAGGAUUUUUUUCGCUGGGAAUUUUCUCUAAUAUUUUACAAUUCCUCCACUAGCCCAGCUCCACUGGUUAUAAGCUUUAUUAUAGACACAGAUAGGAUCUUUUGCUGUUUGGGGAUACAUAUUAUUCUAUCUCCCCUUCCUCUAAUAAUUUUAGCACUACCAUUGUGUCUUCCUGCCUGCACCCAUAUAUUUAGAGGGUUGUGCUUACUCCCCCUAUAGGUAUAAAAUAGGUACUUCCAAUUACUAUUCUUUAGCAUAGGAUUAAUCUUCUCA